rnacentral:rRNA from 1 species
CAUCGCCGCGGUAAUACGUAGGUGGCAAGCGUUGUCCGGAAUUAUUGGGCGUAAAGGGCUCGCAGGCGGUUUCUUAAGUCUGAUGUGAAAGCCCCCGGCUCAACCGGGGAGGGUCAUUGGAAACUGGGAAACUUGAGUGCAGAAGAGGAGAGUGGAAUUCCACGUGUAGCGGUGAAAUGCGUAGAGAUGUGGAGGAACACCAGUGGCGAAGGCGACUCUCUGGUCUGUAACUGACGCUGAGGAGCGAAAGCGUGGGGAGCGAACAGGAUUAGAUACCCCGGUAGUCCCUGUCUCUUAUACA